GGAGUGCUGGGCUCAGGUGACCCUCUUGGAUAAUUGGUGGUGGCUUUUAUGGUCAAAUGACGUCCUGGAGCAGCAAAAUGCAGUGUGUGGUCCCCGUUGGAAGCUCGGCUCUAGGAGAAAGAGACAAGGCAGCGUUUAGCAUCUGCAGGGCAGAUUUCCUGUCUACACUGAAGAGUCAUAUUAAUCCCUUCAAGAAGAGGGUGCCAGGGCUGGAGAAAAGCGUCACCCCAGUGCAAUACUGUCCCCCACACUCAGGAAAGGACGUAACAUCGUUCUCCCUGUGUUCAUCAUUUCAAGCUUGUUCAACUACUGCUGAGUGACAAUAAGCAGCUGGAGUUAUUUGUGAAGAGAAACCUCAUGCUACUAUCCUAGAUUCCUAUUUCCUGCAUAAGAACUCAAUUCUCUCAAAUCAUCCCAUCCUCACCUUUGAGAAUAGCACUGAGGCAUGUAUAUUACCAUAUGUGAGAUAGAUCACCAGUCCAAGUUUGAUGCAUGAAGCAGGACACUCCAAGCCACACAACACCUCCAAAGAAGACAGUGAGGAAGGUUGGUACCCAGGGAUGUGAUGUCGGUGGAAGCAGCUCUCUUUUCCUGCAUUAUUCUAUCACCGUACAUGACUUGCCCAUUCAGCAGGCAACGAGAAAGGAGAGACUGCUCUUUUCCGCGGAAAGAAGUGUCAGCUGGAGCAAGGUUUUUAAGAAGAAUGAAGAAAUAUGAGAUCAGCAAACCACAUUUGACUUACUGGCUGGCAUUUGGUGCACAAAUCACCACAACCUGUACAUGGAGGGAAAGUCCUUUGGAAAGAAAUUCAUUUCCGUCACUGCUCUCUCUCUCCUAGCUGGGCUCUGGCACUUCCUGGGAAUCUUCGCAUUUUAUCAUCUCAAAGAUGUCGGCCCUGACUCAUAGACUGUACCGCGAAUUCCAUCUCAGCGUCAGUUUUAGAGAAUCCAGCCUAGGAUGCUGGUAACCCAGGAUGGUACUAAGAUGCAGUUGGUCUGCAGGGAGGUCUGGAGCUGGCUUGCUCACUCUCUGGUCAGCCAGAAGAGCCCUUCACUGCAGGGAAGAGGCGCUAAACGACCCUGAAGGUAAAAUAAUGGGCGAGUGGACGUUAGCCAUGAGCAUGUCUGUGAUGAGGCUUGGUGGCCAGGAAGGCGGGCAUGCAUGGUCCCUUCAACAUGGACACCCACUCCCCAAGGCUGAUUUCCACCAUUGCCAACUGUUGAGCCUGCUGCCGCAGAGAUUCACGCUGAGAUUCCACAGUGGCCCCAUCCCUCAAGGAGACCAGCUGGACACUUAACGGGAUACAUGGAGACACCUGAAGUCCAUGAAUAGCCUGAGAUGUAUGGACAUCUAUGAGAAGGUCAGUGUGUCUGCAGUUUUCCUGGGAAGGAGUAAGGAGAGGACAUACACAUUUCAUCAGGUUCAAUUACGAACAAGAACCAUUAUGAACCAUUACAAACAAGAAACCUGAGUUUCAAGCCUGGGUUACUCCUUUCUGUGAGGCCUCAUGUGACUCAUUUGCCAGC
ensembl:lncRNA